GUUUUCUGGGCCUGCGGAAGUGCUGCAGUAUCUCGGAAAGAGCCCCAUGUCUUUGUUUCUUCCCUUUUCUCCCUGUGAAAUGCAGGUCCGGGGAGUCAGUAAGGAAGAUGUUGGGACACCCAGAAGCAGGGAGAUGAUUCUUGGGAGCCUGAGAAGGAAGAAUCUGCUGAGCUCAGGAGGUCAAGAUGGUGAUAAGCUCUGUGGAGACACUUCACGCCUGCCUGGUUUACGGAGUGAUACUCAGACUCAUAAAACACAUUUAAUUUAAUUUUUAAAAAAUAAAGGCAUAUCUUCAACA